rnacentral:pre_miRNA from 1 species
AGUAGAAUAGCAGGCUUAUCACAUGUACCAUUUGACCGAGUGUGAGAUUCUUCUAUUCUACUUU